GACGAACGCUGGCGGCGUGCCUAAUACAUGCAAGUCGAGCGAAUGAUGAGAAGUUUGCUUCUCUGAUUUAGCGGCGGACGGGUGAGUAACACGUGGGCAACCUGCCCUGUAGACUGGGAUAACUUCGGGAAACCGGAGCUAAUACCGGAUAAUUCUUUUAGCCUCAUGGCUUUAAGCUAAAAGGCGCUUCGGCGUCACUACAGGAUGGGCCCGCGGUGCAUUAGCUAGUUGGUGGGGUAACGGCCUACCAAGGCAACGAUGCAUAGCCGACCUGAGAGGGUGAUCGGCCACAUUGGGACUGAGACACGGCCCAAACUCCUACGGGAGGCAGCAGUAGGGAAUCUUCCACAAUGGACGAAAGUCUGAUGGAGCAACGCCGCGUGAGUGAUGAAGGUUUUCGGAUCGUAAAACUCUGUUGUAAGGGAAGAACAAGUGCGUUAGGUAAUGAACGCACCUUGACGGUACCUUAUUAGAAAGCCACGGCUAACUACGUGCCAGCAGCCGCCGUAA
rnacentral:rRNA from 1 species